rnacentral:rRNA from 1 species
UGCAGUCGAGCGGAGAGAGGUAGCUUGCUACUGAUCUUAGCGGCGGACGGGUGAGUAAUACUUAGGAAUCUGGCUAUUAGUGGGGGACAACAUUUCGAAAGGGAUGCUAAUACCGCAUACGUCCUACGGGAGAAAGCAGGGGAUCUUCGGACCUUGCGCUAAUAGAUGAGCCUAAGUCGGAUUAGCUAGUUGGUGGGGUAAAGGCCUACCAAGGCGACGAUCUGUAGCGGGUCUGAGAGGAUGAUCCGCCACACUGGGACUGAGACACGGCCCAGACUCCUACGGGAGGCAGCAGUGGGGAAUAUUGGACAAUGGGGGGAACCCUGAUCCAGCCAUGCCGCGUGUGUGAAGAAGGCCUUAUGGUUGUAAAGCACUUUAAGCGAGGAGGAGGGUACUGGUAUUAAUACUACCAGGUACUGGACGUUACUCGCAGAAUAAGCACCGGCUAACUCUGUGCCAGCAGCCGCGGUAAUACAGAGGGUGCGAGCGUUAAUCGGAUUUACUGGGCGUAAAGCGUGCGUAGGCGGCUAAUUGAGUCGGAUGUGAAAUCCCCGAGCUUAACUUGGGAAUUGCAUUCGAUACUGGUUAGCUAGAGUGUGGGAGAGGAUGGUAGAAUUCCAGGUGUAGCGGUGAAAUGCGUAGAGAUCUGGAGGAAUACCGAUGGCGAAGGCAGCCAUCUGGCCUAACACUGACGCUGAGGUACGAAAGCAUGGGGAGCAAACAGGAUUAGAUACCCCUGGUAGUCCAUGCCGUAUACGAUGUCUACUAGCCGUUGGUCUCUUUGAGGGAUUAGUGGCGCAGCUCACGCGAUAAGUAGACCGCCUGGGGAGUACAGUCGCAAGACUAAAACUCAAUGAAUUGACGGGGGCCCGCACAAGCGGUGGAGCAUGUGGUUUAAUUCGAUGCAACGCGAGAACCUUACCUGGUCUUGACAUAGUAAGAACUUUCAGAGAUGGAUUGGUGCCUUCGGGACUUACAUACAGUGCUGCAUGGCUGUCGU